rnacentral:rRNA from 1 species
UACGUAGGGUGCAAGCGUUUGUCCGGAAUUAUUGGGCGUAAAGAGCUCGUAGGCGGUUUGUCGCGUCUGCUGUGAAAACUCAGGGCUUAACCCUGAGCUUGCAGUGGGUACGGGCAGACUAGAGUGCGGUAGGGGAGACUGGAAUUCCCGGUGUAGCGGUGGAAUGCGCAGAUAUCAGGAGGAACACCAAUGGCGAAGGCAGAUCUCUGGGCCGUAACUGACGCUGGAGGAGCGAAAGCAUGGGGAGCGAACAGG